rnacentral:rRNA from 1 species
CUGGCGGCNGGCUUANCNCAUGCAAGUCGAGCGAAGCCUUCGGGCUUAGCGGCGGACGGGUGAGUAACGCGUGGGAACGUGCCCUUCACUACGGAAUAGUCCCUGGAAACGGGGUUUAAUACCGUAUACGCCCUUCGGGGGAAAGAUUUAUCGGUGAAGGAUCGGCCCGCGUCUGAUUAGGUAGUUGGUGGGGUAAUGGCCUACCAAGCCGACGAUCAGUAGCUGGUUUGAGAGGAUGAUCAGCCACACUGGGACUGAGACACGGCCCAGACUCCUACGGGAGGCAGCAGUGAGGAAUCUUGGACAAUGGGGGCAACCCUGAUCCAGCCAUGCCGCGUGAACGAUGAAGGCCUUAGGGUUGUAAAGUUCUUUCACCGGAGAAGAUAAUGACGGUAUCCGGAGAAGAAACCCCGGCUAACUCCGUGCCAGCAGCCGCGGUAAUACGGAGGGGGUUAGCGUUGUUCGGAAUUACUGGGCGUAAAGCGCACGUAGGCGGACCAUUAAGUCAGGGGUGAAAUCCCGGGGCUCAACCCCGGAACUGCCUUUGAUACUGGUGGUCUGGAGUUNNAGANAGGUGAGUGGAAUUCCNNUG